rnacentral:lncRNA from 1 species
AAGAAUUCCAUUUUUUUCCACCUCUCUUCCCUAUCUCACAAAGUCAAACCGGCCAAAAUAUUUUCCCGAUCUGAAACUUUCCGGCAACCAACGGAAACAAUGGCCAUAUCCUUUUCUCUCACCUAAACCCUGAAACCCUCUCCUCCUAAAACUUUGAUCUUCAACCUCCUCAACACUACUCAUGCCAAAACCCAGCUCAAAUUUACCCCAAAUCUCAAACCUCCCCGUUUGUCUCUCCUCUUCAACAUCCAAAAACCUAAACCCCAAUUCAAACUAAUUCACC